UCACGCUUCCGCCACAACCGC
rnacentral:misc_RNA from 1 species